rnacentral:rRNA from 1 species
GACGAACGCUGGCGGCGUGCCUAAUACAUGCAAGUUGAGCGCUGAAGGCUGGUACUUGUACCAACUGGAUGAGCAGCGAACGGGUGAGUAACGCGUGGGGAAUCUGCCUUUGAGCGGGGGACAACAUUUGGAAACGAAUGCUAAUACCGCAUAAAAACUUUAAACACAAGUUUUAAGUUUGAAAGAUGCAAUUGCAUCACUCAAAGAUGAUCCCGCGUUGUAUUAGCUAGUUGGUGAGGUAAAGGCUCACCAAGGCGAUGAUACAUAGCCGACCUGAGAUGGUGAUCGGCCACAUUGGGACUGAGACACGGCCCAAACUCCUACAGGAGGCAGCAGUAGGGAAUCUUCGGCGAUGGACGAAAGUCUGACCGAGCAACGCCGCGUGAGUGAAGAAGGUUUUCGGAUCGUAAAACUCUGUUGGUAGAGAAGAACGUUGGUGAGAGUGGAAAGCUCAUCAAGUGACGGUAACUACCCAGAAAGGGACGGCUAACUACGUG